rnacentral:rRNA from 1 species
AGGACGAACGCUGGCGGCGUGCUUAACACAUGCAAGUCGAGCGAGGCCCGUCCUUCGGGACGGUGCCCUAGCGGCGAACGGGUGAGUAACACGUGGGCAACCUGCCCCUAGCACUGGGAUAACUCCGGGAAACCGGGGCUAAUACCGGAUAUGACCUUUGAGGGCAUCCUCGAAGGUGUAAAGGAUUCUGGCUAGGGAUGGGCCCGCGGCCUAUCAGCUUGUUGGUGGGGUAAUGGCCUACCAAGGCGACGACGGGUAGCCGGCCUGAGAGGGCGACCGGCCACACUGGGACUGAGACACGGCCCAGACUCCUACGGGAGGCAGCAGUGGGGAAUAUUGCACAAUGGGCGAAAGCCUGAUGCAGCGACGCCGCGUGAGGGAUGACGGCCUUCGGGUUGUAAACCUCUUUCAGCAGGGACGAAGCGAAAGUGACGGUACCUGCAGAGAAGCACCGGCCAACUACGCGCCAGCAGCCGC